rnacentral:rRNA from 1 species
GAUGAACGCUGGCGGCGUGCCUAAUACAUGCAAGUCGAGCGAACGGACGAGAAGCUUGCUUCUCUGAUGUUAGCGGCGGACGGGUGAGUAACACGUGGAUAACCUACCUAUAAGACUGGGAUAACUUCGGGAAACCGGAGCUAAUACCGGAUAAUAUUUUGAACCGCAUGGUUCAAAAGUGAAAGACGGUCUUGCUGUCACUUAUAGAUGGAUCCGCGCUGCAUUAGCUAGUUGGUAAGGUAACGGCUUACCAAGGCAACGAUGCAUAGCCGACCUGAGAGGGGGAUAGCCGACACUGGAGCUGAGACACGGUCCAGAGUACUACGGGAGGGAGCAGUAGGGAAUCUUCCGCAAUAGGCGAGAGCCUGACGGAGCAGCGCCGAGUGAGUGAUGAAGAUGUUCGGAUCGUAAAAAUCUGUUAUGAGGGAAGAACAUAUGUGUAAGUAACUGUGCACAGCUUGACGGUACCUAAUCAGAAAGCCACGGCUAACUACGUG